rnacentral:rRNA from 1 species
UGAAUACGAGAUGCUACGGCGUCGAAGCAGUGUAUGUCAGACUUCCAAGAAAAGCUCGCAAUGUCAUAAAUAAAUAAUGCCUGUACCAUAACCGACACAGGUGGGUAGGUAGAGUAUACUAAGGGGCGCGAGAUAACUCUCUCUAAGGAACUCGGCAAAAUAACUCCGUAACUUCGGGAGAAGGAGUGCCUUAUUUAUAAGGUUGCAAUAACAAGAUCCAAGCAACUGUUUAUCAAAAACACAGGUCUCCGCUAAGUCGUAAGACGAUGUAUGGGGGCUGACGCCUGCCCAGCGCCAGAAGGUUAAAGAAGUUGGUUAGCAUUGCGAAGCUGAUGACUGAAGCCCUGGUGAACGGCGGCCGUAACAAUAACGGUCCUAAGGUAGCGAAAUUCCUUGUCGGGUAAGUUCCGACCCGCACGAAAGGCGUAAUGAUUUGGAUACUGUCUCGGAGAGGGACUCGGUGAAAUAGACUUGUCUGUGAAGAUGCGGACUACCUGCACCAGGACAGAAAGACCCUAUGAAGCUUUACUGUAACUUGAAAUUGAAAUUGGACUUUAUUUGCGCAGUAUAGGUGGGAGGCGUUGAAAAUAAUCUCGCGGGAUUAUUGGAGCCAUCAGUGAGAUACCACUCCUAUAAUGUUAGAUUUCUAACUUUGUAUCAUUAUCUGGUCAAAGAACAGUUUCAGGCGGGCAGUUUGACUGGGGCGGUCGCCUCCUAAAUGGUAACGGAGGCGUACAAAGGUUUCCUCUGAACGGGUAGAAAUCGUAUCUAGAGUAUAAAGGCAUAAGGAAGCUUGACUGUGAGACCUACAAGUCGAGCAGGGACGAAAGUCGGUCUUAGUGAUCUGACGGUGCUGAGUGGAAAGGCCGUCACUCAACGGAUAAAAGUUACUCUAAGGAUAACAGGCUGAUCUCCCCCAAGAGUUCACAUCGACGGGGAGGUUUGGCACCUCGAUGUCGGCUCAUCGCAUCCUGGGGCGGUAGUACGUCCCAAGGGUUGGGCUGUUCGCCCAUGAAAGCGGUACGCGAGCUGGGUUCAGAACGUCGUGAGACAGUUCGGUCCAUAUCCGGUGUAGGCGUUAGAAUAUUGAGAGGAGCCUUCUUUAGUACGAGAGGACCGAGAAGGACAUACCUCUGGCGUACCAGUUAUCGUGCCAACGGUAAACGCUGGGUAGCUAUGUAUGGAGUGGAUAACCGCUGAAAGCAUCUAAGUGGGAAGCCCACCUUAAGAUGAGUAUUC